UUGGCUAUGUGAACAAUACCCAGAACCAGAAGCAGAGUCAGAACUACUAGAAUUAGCUGUGGCAGCAGCGGAGGAGGAAAUGGUGGUUUCACGGCACUUGCGGCGUUUGGGCUUAGUGGGCUGAGUUUGAACUUUAAGUUGAUUGGCAUCGGCAUUGGCAAUUUGGCAUUGCCAAAUGAGAGAGAGACUUCGGUUUUGUGUAUCUAAUUUUUAUUUGAUUGGGACGUCAAUUAAAAAUGGCGAUGGACACGAGACGGAAAAGAGCAAGAAGCGACUGAAACAGCAAUAAAUGUGAACUCUCUCUCUCUUUCUAAGCAGUUUUUGUUUGGUUUUUGGAGGAUCUUGAGGUUUUUGAUUUCUUGCUUGUGGAUUGGGAUGCUUCCCCCUCCCUCUCUGUCUCUGAUUUAGCCUUUUGUGGUUGAUUUCACCUGGUGGGGCGGCUUUGAAUUUUUGGCGAAUAACAGCAACAAAAAGGGCAAAAAGAUUGGCCCAUUAAGUAAUCUUGUUUCCAUUCUUGCACUGUGGAUGAACUGGUGCCUUUUCUUGUUCCUUUCUUGAAUUGGAGGGAUUGCUGCCAGUUGGAAAUUUGUUUUGAGAAUAUAUUUAAUUUGUAAUUGGGGCUGGCACUCACACUUGAUAUAGAAGAUUAGCAAUUGAUCAGAGUUAUCAUUGUUGUUGCAA